GAUCAUUAUUGAAUUUAUGUGGGUAUGACAUCUGUGAACUGGUUUGGGAACCGUGGGCAUUAGGAAAAGUCUUGAAUCUGUGGGCUAAUACUGGGGCGACUUUUGUUGGGGGGCCUAUCGUUGACUUUUGGCUAAUACUGGGGCGACCUUGACUUUGGGGGCUACGGCCAAUACUGGGGCGACUUGAUAUGUUGGCGGCCUAUCGGCCUAUCUAAGUGAACCGUGGCUUCGGCCUUUCAAACUCUAGCGUAACGAAGGUCUCUUAUGAGAAAAACACAACUUUCAACAAUGGAUCUCUUGGCUCUCGCAUCGAUGAAGAACGCAGCGAAAUGCGAUAUGUAAUGUGAAUUGCAGAAUUCAGUGAAUCAUCGAAUCUUUGAACGCACCUUGCACCCUCUGGUAUUCCGGAGGGUAUGCCUGUCUGAGUGUCAUUAAGCAAUCAACCUUGUCGGGAGACCGCUUGGUUGGAUUUGGGUGUCUGCCGUCCGCGGCUCGCCUUAAAAGCAUUAGUGGAUCUGGCCGACGUCGGUGGCGAAUUAGGUUACGCCUUUCGACCGAGACCUGCCGCUCAUAACCCGCCCUCGGGCACUUAUCUUUUGACUUGACCUCAGAUCAGGUAGGACUACCCGCUGAACUUAAGCAUAUCANUAAGCGGAGGAAAAGAAACUAACAAGGAUUCCCYUWRWWRCGGCGAGCGAAGCGGGAAGAGCUCAAAUUUGUAAUCUGGCGUCUCUGUGACGUCCGAGUUGUAAUCUAUAGAAACGUCUUCCGUGCCGGACCGCGUCCAAGUCCCUUGGAAUAGGGUAUCAAAGAGGGUGAGAAUCCCGUGCUUGAUGCGACGACCGGUGCACUGUGAUACGUUCUCUACGAGUCGAGUUGUUUGGGAAUGCAGCUCUAAACGGGUGGUAAAUUCCAUCUAAGGCUAAAUAUUGGCGAGAGACCGAUAGCGAACAAGUACCGUGAGGGAAAGAUGAAAAGCACUUUGGAAAGAGAGUUAAACAGUAUGUGAAAUUGUUGAAAGGGAAACGAUUGAAGCCAGCUCAUGUCCCGGGGGUUCAGCGGGUGAUUCCGUGUACUUCCCCGGCGACGGGUCAACGUCAGUUCUGGCCGGCGUAGAAAGGCGGUUGGAAGGUGGCACCCUCGGGUGUGUUAUAGCCUUCCGUCUGAUGCGCCGGCUCGGGACUGAGGAUCGCAGCCUCUCGG
rnacentral:rRNA from 1 species